rnacentral:rRNA from 1 species
GACAGAGGGUGCAAACGUUGUUCGGAAUUACUGGGCGUAAAGCGCGUGUAGGCUGCUCCGCAAGUCGGAUGUGAAAGCCCUGGGCUCAACCUAGGAAGUGCAUUCGAUGCUGCGGAGCUGGAGUCCUGGAGAGGAAGGCGGAAUUCUCGGUGUAGAGGUGAAAUUCGUAGAUAUCGAGAGGAACACCGGUGGCGAAGGCGGCCUUCUGGACAGUGACUGACGCUGAGACGCGAAAGCGUGGGGAGCAAACAGG